AAGACCUUGCACUUUUGGAGCGGCCGAUGUCUGAUUAGCUAGUUGGUGGGGUAAUGGCCUACCAAAGCUUCGAUCAGUAGCUGGUCUGAGAGGACGGCCAGCCACACUGGGACUGAGACACGGCCCAGACUCCUACGGGAGGCAGCAGUGGGGAAUUUUGGACAAUGGGCGCAAGCCUGAUCCAGCCAUGCCGCGUGAGUGAAGAAGGCCUUCGGGUUGUAAAGCUCUUUCAGCCGGAACGAAACGGUUACGGUUAAUACCCGUGAUUACUGACGGUACCGGAAGAAGAAGCACCGGCUAACUACGUGCCAGCAGCCGCGGUAAUACGUAGGGUGCGAGCGUUAAUCGGAAUUACUGGGCGUAAAGCGUGCGCAGGUGGUUUUGUAAGUCAGAUGUGAAAGCCCCGGGCUCAACCUGGGAACU
rnacentral:rRNA from 1 species